ensembl:lncRNA
GUCACUGUGUAAUUAUGAGAACUGGGCAUAACCUUUGUGCGGUUUAAAAAGUACUGAACAUGCCAAGAAGCAACAACGGAUUGUCUUCAGGAAACAGUAUAAAUGAGUGGUGAAGGCACUCCUGACAUCAUGGCGUGGGUGUAAGGAGGAGAGCAAAGCAGAAUUUGGGGAAUCCUUUCCACUAUUAGAGGGAAUUUCUCCAAGCUGUAGAAAUGCCCUGCAGGAGAAUGCACUGCGCCCACUGCAGCUCUGCUGAGGAAGAGGAGCACAGAGCUGCACCCCACGGGACAGAGCAGCACCCGUCUAUCCCAUCCCAUGGACAGCAGCUCCUGUGGGGGUUUGGAGCACAGGCAGGUGAGCAGCAGAGCACAGCGGGCUGCCCCUGCUCCUGGGCACUGCCUUCCCUGCG